UACGGAGGGUGCGAGCGUUGUCCGGAAUCACUGGGCGUAAAGGGCGCGUAGGCGGCCCGGCAAGUCAACGGUGAAAGCUUGGGGCUCAACCCCGAGUCGGCCGUCGAUACUUCCGGGCUGGAGCACUGUAGAGGCAGGUGGAAUUCCGGGUGUAGCGGUGGAAUGCGUAGAGAUCCGGAAGAACACCGGUGGCGAAGGCGGCCUGCUGGGCAGUAGCUGACGCUGAGGCGCGACAGCGUGGGGAGCGAACAGG
rnacentral:rRNA from 1 species